UCUGCGAGGAAAAUGCUCAUUUCCUUUUUU
rnacentral:piRNA from 1 species